rnacentral:rRNA from 1 species
AUUGAACGCUGGCGGCAUGCCUUACACAUGCAAGUCGAACGGUAACAGGUUAAGCUGACGAGUGGCGAACGGGUGAGUAAUAUAUCGGAACGUGCCCAGUCGUGGGGGAUAACGUAGCGAAAGCUACGCUAAUACCGCAUACGAUCUACGGAUGAAGGCGGGGGAUCGCAAGACCCCGCGCGAUUGGAGCGGCCGAUAUCAGACUAGGUUGUUGGUGAGGUAAAAGCUCACCAAGCCUGCGAUCUGUAGCCGGUCUGAGAGGACGACCACCCCAACUGGAGCUGAGACACGGUCCAGACUCCUACGGGAGGCAGCAGUGGGGAAUAUUGGACAAUGGGGGGAACCCUGAUCCAGCAAUGCCGCGUGUGUGAAGAAGGCCUGAGGGUUGUAAAGCACUUUCGGUGGGGAGGAGAGGUAUUAUGUUAAGAGCUAGAUACUGAGACGUUACCCACAAAAGCAGCACCGGCUAACUCCGUGCCAGCCGCCGCCGUAA